AUUGAACGCUGGCGGCAGGCUUAACACAUGCAAGUCGAGCGGAGCGAGGGUGCUUGCACCUUAGCUUAGCGGCGGACGGGUGAGUAAUGCUUAGGAAUCUGCCUAUUAGUGGGGGACAACAUUCCGAAAGGGAUGCUAAUACCGCAUACGCCCUACGGGGGAAAGCAGGGGAUCUUCGGACCUUGCGCUAAUAGAUGAGCCUAAGUCGGAUUAGCUAGUUGGUGGGGUAAAGGCCUACCAAGGCGACGAUCUGUAGCGGGUCUGAGAGGAUGAUCCGCCACACUGGGACUGAGACACGGCCCAGACUCCUACGGGAGGUAGCAGUGGGGAAUAUUGGACAAUGGGGGGAACCCUGAUCCAGCCAUGCCGCGUGUGUGAAGAAGGCCUUUUGGUUGUAAAGCACUUUAAGCGAGGAGGAGGCGCUCUAGGAUAAUACCCUAGAUGCGUGGACGUUACUCGCAGAAUAAGCACCGGCUAACUCUGUGCCAGCCGCCGCGGUAAAAC
rnacentral:rRNA from 1 species